AGGCCAUCAAAGACCUCUUCAACAUGAAACCAGAGUGGGAAAAUCUAAACCAGUCCAACGUGAGGCGCAUGCACACUGCACUCAGAAUCAACGAAGUCAUUGUUAAGAAAUCCCAGGAGGCCAAACUAGUCCUGCUCAACAUGCCCGGACCGCCCAAAAACAGGAGCGGCGACG